UUGAAGUGUCGCUUGUCACAGUUUUGGGUUAGUCCGAAAGUAGCAUUAUCGGGGUUAGGAACUUGCUUUAAGUAGGGCCACCUACCCAUUAACCUAUCAAUGCAGUUUGGGUUCUAUCGAAAUUGCAAGCUUACACUGUAAUAGAUAAGAAAACGCAACCUGGGCAUACUAGUGAACGCCAUGCCGGUCGUUCUCUUUCCGUUUUAACCUUGGAGGUGAUCAGACGUACAGGUGCGACCAACCAAAAAAAAAAAAAAAAAAACACACCCACGUUUUCUUUCUAAUUUUUUUUGUAUUUCGAUAUUCUUCGGUGAGUUAGUUUCUAAAGUGAAAUUCGCUUUUGCUAAUUAUUUUCGUCUUUAGUACCCAAGCCCAGAUUAGAAAUCCCACCAACUGUAUUUAAAUUUGGGGUUAGUUCGGUGCCAGAUCAAAGGUUCUGGCACCUUGUGCUACCCACAAGCAACCGCCGGCUCCAAGCCGUACCACCAGAGCAGCACGUCCAGCAGAGCAGCCGAUGCACAUCGAUCAUCAGAACAUCUCUUUUGGCCGAAGCCAUCGGUGUUCAAGUGUUAUUAGUGUGAAUUAAUCUACCCCCCGCAAAAGUUCAGUGAAAAACAAAACCUGUAGCGAAAAACGAAAAAAAAGGGAAAACAAAAGCCCCUCACAUUAAGCGGUUCAAUUUUUUUUUGGUUAUACCACGAGGUGGCUACACUGUGACAAACUAAUGGUUUUACCGCACGCAUUACAAAACAUGUGCUAAUACACUAAUAAAAUAAUUGGACACCAACGAUCGCCAAAACAAAAAGAAUGAAUUCAAUUUAAAACGUUACGAAAACUACGAGUUUACUAUACCCGAGAAAAAAAAAAAAGAAAUUAUAUAUAUUUUAAAUAUAGAAUAAAUUAAAUUAUAAAUAGAUUAAAUUAAAUUAAAUAAAUAAAAAAAGGUAAAAAGUGAAAGUCAGUGGUGGAAAGAUUUGGCCAUGCCAGCUAGAAAAAAAUAAAUAAAAUAAAAAAAAACUUUUUAAAUAAAUAGUAAUAUAGAAAAAUAAUUAAAAUUAAAAACAUAAUGGGUUAAUCAUACUCCAGCCAUUCAUCCAACGCAAUACCUCAAUAAUAUAUAUAUAUAUCCAUACACAACUUUUUCCGCAAACAUUUAUCAAGACCAAAACAUGAAACAAUAAGAAGAAAUUCGCCGGAGAAAGUACUUUCGCCGUGGGAGAAAAUAACAUGUAAGUUAUAUCUCAAAAUUUGUCUCUAUUACUUGCAACGAUAUAUUAUUUAAAAAACGGCAUUGCAUUUUUGGGGGAUGGCUCUUUCAGUCUUUAAAUUUUACAGUUUUAUAUAUUAAAUCUAUUCUUUCUUUUGAUCGCCUAAUUCGUCGCGAAACCCAAAACCCAAGCUUGACCUACGACAACAUGUUAUUGCAUGGUACAGUCGAGGAUCGAAAUAUUGUGUACACCGAGCCUCUCUCGUGUAUAGGUACAGUCGAGGACCGAAAUAUUGGGUACGCCGGUAGUAAAUUGAAAAUAUUUUAAUUUCUUUUUCUUCUUAUCGAAUUAUAUUACAUUUAUAUUAUAUUAAUACCUAUGCGAAUGGUAUAGGUGGUUUUGAAACAUAUUUUCUUUUCAGCCACUGUAUUUUCACUCAUACUUACAUAUAUACAACGACUAUUACAAUGAAUAAAUAA